rnacentral:rRNA from 1 species
UACGUAGGGUGCAAGCGUUAAUCGGAAUUACUGGGCGUAAAGCGUGCGCAGGCGGUUUGUUAAGUCUGCUGUGAAAUCCCCGAGCUCAACUUGGGAAUUGCAGUGGAAACUGGCAAGCUGGAGUACGGUAGAGGAAGGUGGAAUUCCCGGUGUAGCAGUGAAAUGCGUAGAGAUCGGGAGGAACACCAGUGGCGAAGGCGGCCUUCUGGACCAGUACUGACGCUCAUGCACGAAAGCGUGGGGAGCAAACAGG